rnacentral:lncRNA from 1 species
AAAGAGUCAGCGCUGAUUAUUGUCUGUAUAUAUAUCAGAAGGCCGGCGCUCGCUGGGUAUCCAGCGCUCAUGGGUCCUAUAAGAGUGAUAGUGUCUUUCAGUCUCUUCCUCUGCUCAAAGGAAGAUAAGAUGGAGGAAGAAAAAGGGAAUCUAUCGGCUUAGGAAAGAUAAGGCUUCUCGAUUCCACCGGCUGUUACUCGUACACAAAAGCGGCC